UUGUUUCUCAAUGUCUAGGAUUGUUUGGUUUGUUUGCCCUUUGUGAUCUGGAGUCACCCAUUUUGUAUUUGCCUGCGGAAAACCAACAACGGUGAAUAAAGCGUCCUGGCUGCUAAUGAAAACCUCAGAACGUAUUUGAAAACAGCGAGAGGAAGAAGGGAAGAGAGGAGGGUGGCAGCUGGUCACAGGAGGAGGAGAUGAGAGGUAUUCUGGGUCUAAAAGUCCCUGUCACAAUGCAAGAAGAAAAAGAGACCACCAAGGACUAGAACCGGACAGCGGAAAGCCCGUUGCUUCUCGCAGCAUGACUUUAUCUGGAUGUCAUCAGAGCGCAAGAGCAUGACUGGGAGGUGUGUCUGUGCACCCACGUCAGUCCUGGCUCCCCGAGCGUGUGUCCGGCUGCCAAACCAUGUGACGGCUUGGCAGGCAAUGCGAUGCAUGAAUAAAUAUUAUGCCGCCGAAUCGCAAGAGAGGCCUGGAUUCAGACCAAACCUGGGUCAAGCCCUCGUCAUCUUCGGUAUGCAGAGAGCUUUUGUCUUGCGCUACAAGGCAGAAAGCUGAGGCUUGUACG